CGCACCUUGCGCUCCUUGGUAUUCCGAGGAGCAUGCCUGUUUGAGUGUCGUGAAAUCAUCAACUCCCUAUCUUUAUUGAUAGGUGAGAUUGGACUUGGGGAUUGCUGGUUUUGUAUCGGCUUCCCUUGAAUGCAUUAGCUGGAAGUUCAUUUGCAGCAUAUAUGCGGUGUGAUAAUGUCGUCACUGUGUAGCUCAUUGUGAAUCUAGCUUCUAAUCGCCCUUUAAACGGGACAAUUUGAUCAUUUUUGGCCUCAAAUCAGGUAGGACUACCCGCUGAACUUAA
rnacentral:misc_RNA from 1 species